rnacentral:rRNA from 1 species
AAUAGAUACCCAGGUAGUCCAUGCCGUAAACGUUGGGAACUAGAUGUAGGGCCUGUUCCACGGGUUCUGUGUCGUAGCUAACGCAUUAAGUUCCCCGCCUGGGGAGUACGGCCGCAAGGCUAAAACUCAAAGGAAUUGACGGGGGCCCGCACAAGCGGCGGAGCAUGCGGAUUAAUUCGAUGCAACGCGAAGAACCUUACCAAGGCUUGACAUAUAGAAGGACACUGCAGAGAUGCAGGACUCUUUGGACACUUCUAUACAGGUGGUGCAUGGUUGUCGUCAGCUCGUGUCGUGAGAUGUUCGGUUAAGUCCGGCAACGAGCGCAACCCUCGUCCUAUGUUGCCAGCGGGUUAUGCCGGGAACUCAUGGGAUACUGCCGUGGUCAACACGGAGGAAGGUGGGGAUGACGUCAAAUCAUCAUGCCCCUUAUGUCUUGGGCUUCACGCAUGCUACAAUGGCCGGUACAAAGAGCGGCGAUACCGUAAGGUGGAGCGAAUCUCAAAAAGCCGGUCUCAGUUCGGAUUGGGGUC